UUUGAUCAUGGCUCAGAACGAACGCUGGCGGCAGGCCUAACACAUGCAAGUCGAGCGCACUUGCGGUGAGCGGCGGACGGGUUAGUAACGCGUGGGAACGUGCCCUUUUCUACGGAAUAGCCUGCGGAAAUUGAGAGUAAUACCGUAUACGCCCUUCGGGGGAAAGAUUUAUCGGAGAAGGAUCGGCCCGCGUUGGAUUAGGUAGUUGGUGGGGUKAUGGCCUACCAAGCCGACGAUCCAUAGUCGGUUUGAGAGGAUGAUCAGCAACAUCGGGACUGAGACACGGCCCAGACUCCUACGGGAGGCAGCAUGGGGGAKUCUUAGACAAUGGGGGAAACCCUGAUCUGACCAUGCCGCGUGAGUGACGAAGGCCCUUAGGGUCUGAAAGCUCUUUCAGCUGUGAAGAUAAUGACGGUAGCAGCAGAAGAAACCCCGGCUAKCUCCGUGCCCAGCAGCCGCGGUAAUACGGAGGGGGUUAGCGUUGUUCGGAAUUACUGGGCGUAAAGCGCGCGUAGGCGGACUAUUAAGUCAGAGGUGAAAUCCCAGGGCUCAAUCCCUGGAACUGCCUUUGAUAGUGGUAGUCUUGAGUUCGAGAGAGGUGAGUGGAAUUCCGAGUGUAGAGGUGAAAUUCGUAGAUAUUCGGAGGAACACCAGUGGCGAAGGC
rnacentral:rRNA from 1 species